rnacentral:lncRNA from 1 species
UUUCGUCGUAUAUUGCUAUCACGUUGGCGUCGUCGUCGUCCGAAUACUUUUAGUUUUCGCACUCUAACUUUAGUAAAAGUGAAUGGAAAUCUAGGAAAUUUUAACACAAGGUUUAUGACCACAAAAGGAAGGUUGGUAUUGAUUUUGGGAGUUUUGGUCCCAACAGUUUAGGAAUUAGGGGCCAAAAAGGGCCCAAAUAAGCAUUUUCUUGGUUUUCGCACUAUAACUUUAGUUUAAGUUAAUAGAAAUCUAUGAAAUUUUGACACAAGGUUUAUGACCACAAAAGAACGGUUGGGAUUGAUUUUGGGAGUUUUGGUUUCAACAGUUUAGGAAUUAGGGGCCAAAAAACGGCCCAAAUAAGCAUUAUUCUUGGUUUUCGCACAAUAACUUUAGUUUAAGUAAAUGGAAAUAAAAUUUAAACACAAUGUUAAUGACUACAAAAGGAAGGUUGGUAUUGAUUUUGGGAGUUUAGGUCCCAACAGUUUAGGAAUUAGGGGCCAAAAAGGGACCCAAAUAAGCAUUUUUCUUGGUUUUUGCACCAUAAUGUUAGUAUAAGUAAAAAGAAAUCUAUGAAAUUUAAACACAAGGUUUAUGACCAUAAAAGGAAGGUUGGUAUUGAUUUUGGGAGUUUAGGUCCCAACAGUUUAGGAAUUAGGGGCCAAAAAGGGACCCAAAUAAGCAUUUUUCUUGGUUUUCGCACCAUAAUGUUAGUAUAAGUAAAAAGAAAUCUAUGAAAUUUAAACACAAGGUUUAUGACCAUAAAAGGAAGGUUGGUAUUGAUUUUGGGAGUUUUGGUCCCAACAGAAUAAGGG